AGCAGUAGCCACGGUAAUACGUAGGUGGCAAGCGUUGUCCGGAAUUAUUGGGCGUAAAGGGCUCGCAGGCGGUUUCUUAAGUCUGAUGUGAAAGCCCCCGGCUCAACCGGGGAGGGUCAUUGGAAACUGGGAAACUUGAGUGCAGAAGAGGAGAGUGGAAUUCCACGUGUAGCGGUGAAAUGCGUAGAGAUGUGGAGGAACACCAGUGGCGAAGGCGACUCUCUGGUCUGUAACUGACGCUGAGGAGCGAAAGCGUGGGGAGCGAACAGGAUUAGAUACCCGAGUAGUCCCUGUCUCUUAUAA
rnacentral:rRNA from 1 species